rnacentral:rRNA from 1 species
UACAGAGGGGGCAAACGUUAUUCGGAAUUAUUGGGCGUAAAGGGCGCGUAGGCGGCCAUCUAAGUCAGACGUGAAAUCCCCCGGCUUAACCUGGGAACUGCGUCUGAUACUGGAAGGCUCGAGUUUGGGAGAGGGAUGCAGAAUUCCAGGUGUAGCGGUGAAAUGCGUAGAUAUCUGGAGGAAUACCGGUGGCGAAGGCGGCAUCCUGGACCAACACUGACGCUGAGGCGCGAAAGCUAGGGGAGCAAACGGG